UAACAAAAAGAUUGGAAUUAAAAAUAAUUAAGUACGGAUUAAUCGAAGCUUAAUGGGAUUAGCAAGAACAUGGGCCUGGGGGGUUAAGCAAUCGGGGGUGUAGUGGAUAAUGAAAAUAAAAAUGCUUCGGCCAAAGGCCCAAGCUUCCCCCUAAAAAAAGCCAAAACCGGGUUCCAUACACCUUGACCCGUUGAAUCUACGUCUAAACACGCAGGGUACCAAGAACACGAACCAGAAUCCCAUCCCUUCACUUCGAAAAUUCUAGGCCAAAUGCAGACGCUUCUUCACGACACAACACCCUCACUCGCAAGAACUCGGGAUCCAAACUCAGAUCGAUUUCGCACCAACGGUUGUGAAUACGGUGAAAUAUCAAAACAAAAUUCUUCUUUCGUGAAGAAUCAAGAAGACUCAAUGGAACUCGCGGCCGAUCAUCAUCAUUGAAUCGAAUCCGAAAUCAAAAACACGCAUGGACGGACGAAGACGACGGGAGAAAACUCACCGGACGAUUUUGACGUGAUGACUCAGAGGCGUGAUUUGUCCGUUGUUAAUUCGUUCGUCGACGUUGUCGCAUGUUGAAUCGCAUUACAGCAAAGACUGAAGUUGGUGAUACACUAUCGAUUGAGAAGCUAUACGAGAAAUUCAAUGUCGCCGCUUUUAUCCCUGCUUAGGUCGUCAUUGUCGAUGCGUUGUGUAUUGUCGUUGUGGUUCCGAGAUGGAGAAUGUUGCGUUGUGGAUUGAGUUGACGCUAAAGACGGUUAGUUUGGAUUCGCGCGCGUGAACAGGUUCCUUCAAUUGGUUGUGAAGGGUUCAGGUUUUCCGGUUCGGAAUUGGUUGGUUGGAUGGAGAUUUAUUUCCGUUGUAACAGUUUUUUUUGUCUCGGUUUUCGGUUGGUUUUCCGCUAGCGAUUCUUGGCCAGCUGGAGGAGGUCUCCAUUUCGCUAACGGUUGCCGUCUUUGAGAUGGUUGUAGAGGAUUUUCGAAGCAGCGGUUUUGGGACUUAAACACAUCUUAACUAAGUCUUCCUCUUUCCUAUUGAAAACUGCUAUGAGGGACUCCACUAUGGCCAUCUCGGAAAGAGUCACAGUGGAAGGGUUUAGGACAUACGAUAGCACAACAACCUCUGUCAACCCUUUCUUGAAAAGGGCCACUAUACAUUCAACAUCGGUAUCCACACAUGUGAGAGUCUGAAUAACAACAUUGUCUCUAGACCCCAUCUCGGCCAGGAGAAAAACUGCUGCCUGUAGGACCUGGGGCUCAACAGAAUUGAAAAGUAUCUCCACAAACCCGUUAAUUAUUGGGGGGUUUGAUAGCAUGCUAUGGAUGUCCACUCUCUCUUGAAUAAUGGAUGUUAAGCGGUUCUGUAUUUGAACCCUGUAAAACUGUUGACAAGGAAAGGUAAGUCAGAAAGCAGGCAUUCAGGCUCUGCAGUGUUGGACCGAUAGGUAUUCUAUAUAUUGGAUACCAAGCCGGCGAAACCCAGCUCGCAGGCGAAAGAUCACAACUCUAGUAUGUCUUCAACUCUGUAAAUCGAAAUGGAAUGAAUUAUUUGACACAAGUUAAAAUUGAAUUAAUUUCAAAUUUUGAAUGUAGUAACUAUGUCUGUAAUUGAACUUAAUGGUUAUAACUUGUGUCAAUGAACCAAGAUUUAUGAUUAUGUAUGAGAAUGCUAUUGAAAUGGUGUAAUUUGGAAUAUGUAUGUAUGGUUUUGUGAAAAUGUAGAACAUGGUUGUAACUUUGUAAGGGGAAUGGUAAAUGUAAUAUGUAAGGUUAUUGAUGUAAAAGAGAGUCAUGGGUUAUGGUUUGAAAUGGAAAGUGAUUCAUGAUUUAAAAGGUGAAAGAUGACUUUGGUUUUGAA